AUGAACGCUAGCUACAGGCUUAACACAUGCAAGUCGAGGGGCAGCAUGGUCUUAGCUUGCUAAGGCCGAUGGCGACCGGCGCACGGGUGAGUAACGCGUAUCCAACCUGCCUUACACUCUUGGACAGCCUUCUGAAAGGGAGAUUAAUACAAGAUGUUAUCAUGAGUAAGCAUUUUCGCAUGAUUAAAGGUUUACCGGUGUAAGAUGGGGAUGCGUUCCAUUAGAUAGUAGGCGGGGUAACGGCCCACCUAGUCUUCGAUGGAUAGGGGUUCUGAGAGGAAGGUCCCCCACAUUGGAACUGAGACACGGUCCAAACUCCUACGGGAGGCAGCAGUGAGGAAUAUUGGUCAAUGGACGAGAGUCUGAACCAGCCAAGUAGCGUGAAGGAUGAAGGUUCUAUGGAUUGUAAACUUCUUUUAUACGGGAAUAAACGAAUCCACGCGUGGAUUUUUGCAUGUACCGUAUGAAUAAGGAUCGGCUAACUCCGUGCCAGCAGCCGCGGUAAUACGGAGGAUCCGAGCGUUAUCCGGAUUUAUUGGGUUUAAAGGGAGCGUAGAUGGGUUGUUAAGUCAGUUGUGAAAGUUUGCGGCUCAACCGUAAAAUUGCAAUUGAUACUGGCAGUCUUGAGUACAGUUGAGGUAGGCGGAAUUCGUGGUGUAGCGGUGAAAUGCUUAGAUAUCACGAAGAACUCCGAUUGCGAAGGCAGCUUACUAACCUGUAACUGACAUUGAUGCUCGAAAGUGUGGGUAUCAAACAGGAUUAGAUACCCUGGUAGUCCACACGGUAAACGAUGAAUACUCGCUGUAGGCGAUAUACGGUCUGCGGCCAAGCGAAAGCAUUAAGUAUUCCACCUGGGGAGUACGCCGGCAACGGUGAAACUCAAAGGAAUUGACGGGGGCCCGCACAAGCGGAGGAACAUGUGGUUUAAUUCGAAGCAACGCGAAGAACCUUACCAAGUCUUGACAUCGUGAUGACCGGAACCUAACCGUUCCUUCCCUUCGGGGCAUCAUAGACAGGUGGUGCAUGGUUGUCGUCAGCUCGUGCCGUGAGGUGUCGGCUUAAGUGCCAUAACGAGCGCAACCCUUGCCGAUAGUUACUAACAGGUUAUGCUGAGGACUCUGUCGGGACUGCCAUCGUAAGAUGUGAGGAAGGUGGGGAUGACGUCAAAUCAGCACGGCCCUUACGUCCGGGGCUACACACGUGUUACAAUGGGGGGUACAGAGGGCUGCUACCACGCAAGUGGAUGCCAAUCCCAAAAACCUCUCUCAGUUCGGAUUGAAGUCUGCAACCCGACUUCAUGAAGCUGGAUUCGCUAGUAAUCGCGCAUCAGCCACGGCGCGGUGAAUACGUUCCCGGGCCUUGUACACACCGCCCGUCAAGCCAUGGGAGCCGGGGGUACCUGAAGUGCGUAACCGCAAGGAGCGCCCUAGGGUAAAACUGGUGACUGGGGCU
rnacentral:rRNA from 1 species